GUCUUUCACGUACAGCAUAGUCUUUCUUUUAUGGAGCUACGUUGAAUACAGCUCAUCAGUGAACCCUGCCCAUAACUCGCUGCUGAACGUCUCUCUGCUCAGUGAUAAAGUGAACUUAUUUCUCCAUUUUUCCUUUGAAUCUCAGGCAUUUUCUCAGUAUCCAUGUGUGUUCCAACUAGAACUUCCCAAAACUUCCACAGUUAAACCAGACUGAUGUACAGCUGCUUUGUUCUAAUAAUACUCUAGCUUUCCUGGCUGAGAAACAGUUCCCAAACUAGACGUGAUAGUCUAUGAAGUCUAACAUGGAGCGAUGUACCACCUCUGGGAAGGACAUCUUUCACAGUCCUGCUUCUUUGCAACCUCAUUGGCACCGAAAGGUAGCAUGAAAUGGAGCCAGGAUGACAGGGCCCCAUCUGAGCCAUGCCCAGCUCCCCCAGUCUGCACAAACCCACUCUAUCAAUCACGGUGCAGAUUUGUUCAGCUGCUUUAUGAUUUACCACCAGCACAGCACAGCCUCAGACCCUACCGUGCAGCAUCUUUAAUCCUACAGCAACUCCUCUUCAUGCAUGAUUGUAAGUUUGACAGGGACGUUUUCCUCCACAAACUUGCUGUGAAAGAUCUGCUUCCGGAGGCCACGGAUUUGUGUGUGAGUAAAACUGCAAAAAGAAAAUCUGUUCAGAGAUGUAACUGUAUCUAAAGCAUAUUCCAACUGUUUUUAUCCAAUAGCAGUUGGAUAGGUAACCUAGGAAAGAAAUCUUGGGGAUCAUUUAGGCAUAGGAAAAAAAAGAUAGCUCUUUUGUCACACUCCUGAGGUAGGCGUGCAGAGCUAGAGCCAUUAAAAUUAAAUGAUACCUGAGUGUAUAUGAUUCAGGUGUACAAACAAGUAAAAUUCAGUGGGUUUUUUUUUUGUUUUUUUUUGUUUUUUUUGUUUUUUUUUUUAACACGCUUUAUUUGAGAGUAGUGAAAACAAGGUGGAUUUUAUCACAGCAGAAAACCACAUCAUGGCAUAGUCAGAAUUGAAUUUAGCCCUUCCAGAUCAAGUGUGAUCUUUGGCCAAAUUAUUAUAUUUAACCUCACUGUGAAAAAGAUGUCCUAAAUUAUGAAGACCCUGCUCUGCCCUUGAAUAAGCACAUCAGACAUAGACCUCAGUGGGAGGAGUAUUGGCUGCUUUUAUGGUAAGGAUUCAGUCGUAAGUGACCUCAUACUUUUGCAUGUGGUCUGCCACUUAGGCACAUCAAGGUUGCAAAGGAUACUUCUUUGCUUUAAUUUAUUUUUUUUCAUAUUAUUUAUCAGUGGUGCAGUUUUUGUGGCUUAAUUAAUUCUUUUAUACUGUCUCCUUCCAUCCCAAUCAUAUUUGAGUCUUUCUUCUUGCUAACAUUUUCCAGCAUAUUUUUCAUCUCUGUGUAGAACCACAAUGUUAAUGAACAACAAUUAUCUUUCUUACUUAUGUGAGAACUUUAAUGAAGCUUCAUUAAAAUUAACAUGGCACAAUAUUACUGGC
rnacentral:lncRNA from 1 species